GUGGGGAAUAUUGGACAAUGGGGGGAACCCUGAUCCAGCCAUGCCGCGUGUGUGAAGAAGGCCUUUUGGUUGUAAAGCACUUUAAGCGAGGAGGAGGCUACCGAGAUUAAUACUCUUGGAUAGUGGACGUUACUCGCAGAAUAAGCACCGGCUAACUCUGUGCCAGCAGCCUCGGUAAUACAGAGGGUGCAAGCGUUAAUCGGAUUUACUGGGCGUAAAGCGCGCGUAGGUGGCCAAUUAAGUCAAAUGUGAAAUCCCCGAGCUUAACUUGGGAAUUGCAUUCGAUACUGGUUGGCUAGAGUAUGGGAGAGGAUGGUAGAAUUCCAGGUGUAGCGGUGAAAUGCGUAGAGAUCUGGAGGAAUACCGAUGGCGAAGGCAGCCAUCUGGCCUAAUACUGACACUGAGGUGCGAAAGCAUGGGGAGCAAACAGGAUUAGAUACCCCGGUAGUCC
rnacentral:rRNA from 1 species